AUCCCUGGGCCUGGGCCUACCUAGGUGAAGACAGGCAUUUUUGUUUUCCUGCCCGGAUGUUGCAUUUCCCAAGACCACCCUGGCCUGCCAUGCCCUCAUCCUGUGCCUUUAAAAACCCCCGAGACCCUGGCAGGCAGACGCACAAGCAGCUGGACAUUGAGAGGAGCAUAUAGGCAGAGAAUACAGGGGCUGCUGGAUGUCGAAAGGAACGCACCAGCAUAGGAGCACACCGGCAUGCUGGCAGGCCAUUGACCAGCGGAAGAAUGCAGAGUUUGUCGCGGGAGGUCAGAGAAGAGUCAGGCCGCCAUACCUGACUCCAGGAGAAAACCGUCUCCCUUCUGGUUCCCCCGUCUGCCGAGAGCUACUUCCACUCAAUAAAACUUUCCACUCAUUCUUCAAGCCCACGUGUGAUCCAAUUCUUCCCGUACACCAAGGUCUCGCUGUGUUUCCCAGGCUGGGUGCAGUGGCUAUUCAAAGGUACAAUGAUAGCUCACUGCAGCCUGGAACUCCUGGACUCAAGCGAUCCUCCUGCCUCAGCUGCGACUAACAGGUCAAAACAGUCACAAGCCUGCUCAAAUUCGGAAAGAGGGGACGGAAAUGGAACCUCUUCAUGGGAGGAAGAAACAGGGUCUUGCUCUGUUGCCCUGGCUGGAGUGCAAUGGUAUGAUCAUAGCUCACAGUAGCCUUGAACUCCUGGGCCCAAGCCAUCCUCCUACCUCAGCAACCAGAGUAGCUGGGAUUACAGGCGAAUGCCACCACACCUGGAAUUGGAAAAAUGAAUGUAAUUUGACAUAUGUCUUGAGUCUGGUUGGCUUCUGAGGAACUUGUGUGCAUCUCAUCAGUAUGCAUCUUAAGAACUGAAAUGACCCUACUUCAGCAUUGUGAGAAGACAUGCAUUCUCUUCGUAUAAAUAAUGUGGAUCUUACAUGUAAAGUAUUAUAAAGAUUAGCUGUUUAACAACUUAAAUAAGCUUGUGAAUAAUAAAUUAAUAACAAUGUUAUGCUAAUACGUAACUAUGAUAUUUGCUGAACAAAAUAAAUUUGCCUACUUUGGAAGCAGAUUGGGUGGUUUAAUAUAUCAGCAAAAGAGUGUUUUUAAAAAAUAUCAAAGUUCUGUUAAUCAAAACGUUUAUUGUAGGACAGUUAGUAAUGUUUUGUUUGCCAACUUAUAUUACAAAGUCUCUGUCUUAAGUGUUUCCUUGCAAAUAAAAUGACAAUACUGCCU
rnacentral:lncRNA from 1 species